CAGGUUGUCACCAGAUGUGGACUCCUUCGCUUCCUCUGCCUGGUGAAUCGUUCUUGCAAAACCGUUGUGGGAGCUUGAGUUUGCGGUCUCCGAUGCCGACAACCGUUGGGUGAGGGUGGUGAUAGAUAUUGGUAGGACGCUCUCAUAUAACGGCAAGGAGUGCUUCUGGAGCAGAACCUGCAGUCUCAUUAGUGGCCCCCGGAAG